UUGGAGCUGCUGCAGUCAAAGAAGAGUGACCAGAACCACUUGAAUAUCCACAUUUCCAUUUCUGUGCCUGAUAGAGUUUUGAUUCAUCAUGGAUAAUCUGUCAUCAGAAGAAAUUCAGAUGAAGGCUCACCAGGUUACUGAUGAGUCUCUGGAAAGUACAAGGAGAAUCCUGGGUUUAGCCAUUCAGUCUCAGGAUGCAGGAAUCAAGACCCUCACUAUGCUGAAUGAACAAGGGGAACAACAAAAUCGCAUAGAAGAAGGCAUGGACCAAAUAAAUAAAGACAUGAGAGAAGCAGAGAAGACUUUAACAGAACUCAGCAAGUGCUGUGGCCUUUGUGUUUGCCCAUGUAAUAGAACAAAGAACUUUGAGUCUGGUAAGGCCUAUAAGAAAACAUGGGGAGAUGGCGGAGACAACUCACUUAGCAACGUAACAUCUAAGCAGCCAGGCCAGGUGGCAAAUGGUCAGCCUCAGUAACCAACAACAGGAGCAGCCAGCGGAGGAUAGAUUAAACAUAUAACUAAUGAUGCCAGAGAAGAUGAGAUGGAAGAGAACCUGACUCAAGUAGACAGUAUCAUGGGAAAUCUAAAAAAUAUGGCUCUGGACAUGGGUACUGAGAUUGAAGCUCAAAAGAAACAAAUAGAACUGAUCACAGAAAAAGCUGACACCAACGAAGAUCGUAUUGACAUUGCCAAUGCCAGAGCAAAGAAACUCAUUGACAGCUAAAGCUGCUGCUGUACUUCUUUAUCAUUUAUUCACUUCC